CCCUUAGAUGUUCUGGGCGGCCCGCGCACUACAUUGGCACUGGCAACAAGAUCCUAGAUCUGAUAUUUCGGGGUAUUCUACCAACUGGUGUCGUGACUGGGAUUAACCCCUGCAAUUAUUGGUUAUGAACGAGGAAUUCCUUGUAAUCACGGUUUAUCAACCCGUGUUGAAUGCGUCCCUGCCCUUUGUACACACCGCCCGUCGCUCCUACCGAUGAAUCGUCCGGUGAAGUUCAUGGAGUCGCGGCUGCUCCAGCUGUUUUCGAAGUGAAAUGGGCCUCAUGAUUUAGAGGAAGGAGAAGUCGUAACA
rnacentral:rRNA from 1 species